rnacentral:rRNA from 1 species
UACGGGGGGAGCAAGCGUUGUUCGGAUUUACUGGGCGUAAAGGGCGCGUAGGCGGCCAGCACAAGUCAGUUGUGAAAUCUCCGAGCUUAACUCGGAAAGGUCAACUGAUACUGUGCGGCUAGAGUGCAGAAGGGGCAACUGGAAUUCUUGGUGUAGCGGUGAAAUGCGUAGAUAUCAAGAGGAACACCUGAGGUGAAGACGGGUUGCUAGGCUGACACUGACGCUGAGGCGCGAAAGCCAGGGGAGCAAACGGG